UUUGGGUUUCUUGUGAUGAAGGAAGUGUUGCGGCUACGACAGCGCCACCACCACUUGUGAUUUCCUGUUGAAGGUUUGUUUCUCUUUAUAUUUUAUUUCUCUGCAAUUCGUCUCUAUUUUUUCUUUUGAAUUUGCAAACCUCCUGAUUCUUAUUUUAUAAUCUUUCUUUUUGGUAGAAAAGUUCGUUAUGAGAAGUGUCAAACUACCAUCUUCGACGCCCUUUGUUUGAAAAUUAGUUUUGGAGAUACUCCCUCCGUAUUUUAAUAAGUGUCGUUUUAGGAUUUUCUUUUUUUAAAAAUUAGAUGUCGUUUUCAAAUUUCUAUACAAAAUUUAUUACUUUUUAAUGUUUUAUGAUAUCAUAAAACAUUAAAAAAUAAAAAAUUUUGCAUAGAAAUUUGAAAACGACAUCCAAUUCAAAAAAAUAAAAAUUCUAAAACGACACUUAUUAAAAUACGGAGGGAAUAGUAUUUUUCUCUAUUGUGUCGAUUUCACAUAUUUGUUUAGAGAGUAGUGUGAACACAUCUACCAAACGAAGUCAUGGACAAUAUGUGAUGUUUAUAAAAUUUAACGAAGGUUCAAAUUCCCUUAUUUUUCUCUCUCGUUGUCGUGUUUCUAUAUAUGAGAUGUUUAUAAGGUUUAAAUUCUCUUAUUGAUAAUGGGUUUUGAUUUUACUAUCACUUGUACUUUCCAAUAAGAGAUUUAAGGAAGAGACGAGUGUUAAUCGCAGUGAUUUUGGUUAGAUUUUGUUAAGCUUGUCUAACAUUUGAUGGAUAGUUAUAAAUGGAUAAAGUGACAUGGGUACAUUAAUUUAUAUGAGAUUUGAUAAAUUUGGACGAAAUCACAAGUUUUUUUUUUUUUUUUAAAUAAAGUUAAGGUAAAAGUCUCUCAGUUUGAUUGGAUGUUGUGAGUGAUAUUUUUGUUUGAGUUGUGAAUUUUAAUCGUUGUCCUCAUUACCAUGAAUUUAUAUUCAUCCGAUAUAAUCCAUCUAAGUAAUCGCUUAAUGGACAGAGAUUUGUGGACAGAAUUAGAACACAAAACAUGAUCAUUUACCUUUAUUGUAGUAUAUAAAAACAUGGAUUUUGAAACAAAGGUUACCUUAAUGUAUAUUUAACAAAUAGCUACUUGAAUCUAACUAUACAAUAGUUAUUAACAUGGCACAAAUUAACUUGUCAUGGUCAUUGUUUAAUGGACAAAUUGAUGUGGACAUGGAGAUGAGAACAUUGGAAAUAUGUUUUUUGAGAGUGAAGAAGUAAAUUAGACCUAGAUUGAAAUGACCACAUGCUCAGAGUUUGGUGGAUGUGCGUGUAUGGUCGGUAAUUCGAAAUGAUUGUGUUGUAAAUUUUGAUGUAAAAUUAUAAGAGACUGUCAUGUAUUCAAGAUUAUAAGGAGUUUCUAUUUUAUCCCUUAAAAAUAUUUUUUGUGUCAAUGACUUCCCACACUUAUCUCAAUCAAUCGCCACUAUUAUUGUUGACUAUUAUGGAUGCCACAUUAUGGAUGUCGCAUAAUGAUUGUUGUGUCUAAGGUUUCGAGUUUUGAGUUUCGGGUUUAGAGUUUAGGGUUUAGGUUUUAGGUUUAGACUUUAGGGUUUAUGGUUAAGGGUAUAGGGUAUAUGUAUAUGGUUAAGGGUUAAGGGUUAACUCUAGAUGGUUUAGGUUUUAGAGUUAAGGGUUUUGAGUUUAGGGUUUAGGUUUAGGGGCUAAGAUUUAACGUCUAGGGUUUAGUAUAUAUGGUUUAGGGUUUAGUCUCUACUGUUUAGGAUUUAGGGUUUAAGGUUUAGUGUUUAGUGUUCAGGGUUUAGGGUUUAGGGUUUAGGGUUUAAGGUUUAUGGGUUAGUAUCUAUGGUUUAAGGUUUAGUAUCUAUGGUUUAGGGUUUAGUCUCUAGGGUUUAGGGUUUAGUCUGUAUGGUUUAGGGUUUAGGGUUUAGUGUUUAGGGUUUAGAGUUUAAAGUCUAGGAUUUAGUGUUUAGUCUCUAGGGUUUAGGGUUUUGUCUCUAGGGUUUAGGGUUUAGGGUUUAUGGUUUAUGGUUUAGGGUCUAUGGUUUAGUGUUGGUCUCUAGGGUUUAGGGUUUAGUCUCUAGGGUUCAGGGUUUAGGGUUUACGGUUUAGUUUCUAUUGUUUAUGGUUUUGUAUCUAUGGUUUAGCAUUUAGAGUUUAGGGUUUAGGGUUUAGAUUUUAGUCUCUAGGGUUUAGGUUUUAGUAUCUAUGGUUUAGGAACUAUGGUUGUCAACAAUGAUAAUAGUAUUUAUGGUUUCCGGUUUCUUAUUAGAGAUUAUAUAUUCCAACGUUGUCCAUAUGGAGGAUCAUAUGGAUUUUCAUUUUUCCCUUUGUGUUUACGAUUAGGGGUUUUUAGUAAAUGGUUUAAUUAAUAGUUUACACAUUUACUCUUUAAUGGUGACUAUGCUUAUAGUUUAUCUUUUAGUAUGUUUUCUAAGUUCCACAAAAUGAGUUUUUAUUUCAAUGAUGUGAUGGAUUCUAACCUGUUUGUUGUCAUUUAAAAGCUUUCAGAGACGACAUUUCAUAGAUUCGCAUUCUUACGUACAUCCAUAGUAGUUUUUUGAUGUGGUGGAAUGAUGGGAACGCUGGUCUCAAGGAAAGGUUUUAUAAUCUAAAACGAAAACGCAUGUUGCGUUCUCGUUUCGAGUAUCUCAAUGAAAGGUCCUGAACAAUAGGGCAAUGUACAUAUGAAAACUACCAAUGUAAAGAAGAUGAG
rnacentral:lncRNA from 1 species